rnacentral:rRNA from 1 species
UACGUAGGGUCCGAGCGUUGUCCGGAAUUAUUGGGCGUAAAGGGCUCGUAGGCGGUUCGUCACGUCGGGAGUGAAACUCGGGGCUUAACCCCGAGCCUGCUUCCGAUACGGGCAGACUAGAGGUAGGCAGGGGAGAGCGGAACUCCUGGUGUAGCGGUGGAAUGCGCAGAUAUCAGGAAGAACACCGGUGGCGGAAGGCGGCUCUCUGGGCCUUACCUGACGCUGAGGAGCGAAAGCGUGGGGAGCAAACAGG